GUGAACGCUGGCGGUAGGCCUAACACAUGCAAGUCGAACGGCAGCACAGUAAGAGCUUGCUCUUACGGGUGGCGAGUGGCGGACGGGUGAGGAAUACAUCGGAAUCUACUUUUUCGUGGGGGAUAACGUAGGGAAACUUACGCUAAUACCGCAUACGACCUACGGGUGAAAGCAGGGGAUCUUCGGACCUUGCGCGAUUGAAUGAGCCGAUGUCGGAUUAGCUAGUUGGCGGGGUAAAGGCCCACCAAGGCGACGAUCCGUAGCUGGUCUGAGAGGAUGAUCAGCCACACUGGAACUGAGACACGGUCCAGACUCCUACGGGAGGCAGCAGUGGGGAAUAUUGGACAAUGGGCGCAAGCCUGAUCCAGCCACACCGCGUGGGUGAAGAAGGCCUUCGGGUUGUAAAGCCCUUUUGUUGGGAAAGAAAAGCAGCAGGUUAAUACCCCGCUGUUCUGACGGUACCCAAAGAAUAAGCACCGGCUAACUUCGU
rnacentral:rRNA from 1 species